rnacentral:rRNA from 1 species
UGGGGAAUAUUGCACAAUGGGCGCAAGCCUGAUGCAGCGACGCCGCGUGGGGGAUGACGGCCUUCGGGUUGUAAACUCCUUUCGCUAGGGACGAAGCUUUUUGUGACGGUACCUAGAUAAGAAGCACCGGCUAACUACGUGCCAGCAGCCGCGGUAAUACGUAGGGUGCGAGCGUUUUCCGGAAUUACUGGGCGUAAAGGGCUCGUAGGUGGUUUGUCGCGUCGUCUGUGAAAUUCCGGGGCUUAACUCCGGGCGUGCAGGCGAUACGGGCAUAACUUGAGUACUGUAGGGGUAACUGGAAUUCCUGGUGUAGCGGUGAAAUGCGCAGAUAUAAGGAGGAACACCGAUGGCGAAGGCAGGUUACUGGGCAGUUACUGACGCUGAGGAGCGAAAGCAUGGGUAGCGAACAGG